rnacentral:rRNA from 1 species
GACGAACGCUGGCGGCGUGCCUAAUACAUGCAAGUAGAACGCUGAAGGAGGAGCUUGCUUCUCCGGAUGAGUUGCGAACGGGUGAGUAACGCGUAGGUAACCUGCCUGGUAGCGGGGGAUAACUAUUGGAAACGAUAGCUAAUACCGCAUAAGAGUAGAUGUCGCAUGACAUUUGCUUAAAAGGUGCAACUGCACCACUACCAGAUGGACCUGCGUUGUAUUAGCUAGUUGGUGAGGUAACGGCUCACCAAGGCAACGAUACAUAGCCGACCUGAGAGGGUGAUCGGCCACACUGGGACUGAGACACGGCCCAGACUCCUACGGGAGGCAGCAGUAGGGAAUCUUCGGCAAGGGACGGAAGUCUGACCGAGCAACGCCGCGUGAGUGAAGAAGGUUUUCGGAUCGUAAAGCUCUGUUGUAAGAGAAGAACGAGUGUGAGAGUGGAAAGUUCACACUGUGACGGUAGCUUACCAGAAAGGGACGGCUAACUACGUG